UACGAAGGGGGCUAGCGUUGCUCGGAAUCACUGGGCGUAAAGCGCACGUAGGCGGCUUUUUAAGUCAGGGGUGAAAUCCUGGAGCUCAACUCCAGAACUGCCUUUGAUACUGAGAGGCUUGAGUCCAGGAGAGGUGAGUGGAACUGCGAGUGUAGAGGUGAAAUUCGUAGAUAUUCGCAAGAACACCAGUGGCGAAGGCGGCUCACUGGCCCGGUACUGACGCUGAGGUGCGAAAGCGUGGGGAGCAAACAGG
rnacentral:rRNA from 1 species